rnacentral:misc_RNA from 1 species
GAUGAAGAACGCAGCGAAAUGCGAUAAGUAAUGUGAAUUGCAGAAUUCAGUGAAUCAUCGAAUCUUUGAACGCACCUUGCACCCUUUGGCAUUCCGAAGGGUAUGCUCGUUUGAGUGUCAUUGUACUCUCACACUCCCGAUCUUUGGAUUGGGAGCGGUGGACUUGGGUUUGCUGCUUGCCGUGGCUCACCUCAAAUGGAUUAGUGCAACUCUUGGUUGACCAUAGUACGGCGUGAUAAGUGUCUUCGCCGGCGCCUCUGUAAGGAGGGUGGCCGAUCGGGAGCUCUGUGCUUCAAACCGUCUUCGGACAAUCUUUGACAACUUGACCUCAAAUCGAGUAGGACUACCCGCUGAACUUAAGCAUAUCAAUAAGCGGAGGA